rnacentral:rRNA from 1 species
CAAGGCUUGACAUAUACCGGAAACAUCCAGAGAUGGGUGCCCCCUUGUGGUCGGUAUACAGGUGGUGCAUGGCUGUCGUCAGCUCGUGUCGUGAGAUGUUGGGUUAAGUCCCGCAACGAGCGCAACCCUUGUCCUGUGUUGCCAGCAUGCCCUUCGGGGUGAUGGGGACUCACAGGAGACCGCCGGGGUCAACUCGGAGGAAGGUGGGGACGACGUCAAGUCAUCAUGCCCCUUAUGUCUUGGGCUGCACACGUGCUACAAUGGCCGGUACAAAGAGCUGCGAUGCCGUGAGGCGGAGCGAAUCUCAAAAAGCCGGUCUCAGUUCGGAUUGGGGUCUGCAACUCGACCCCAUGAAGUCGGAGUUGCUAGUAAUCGCAGAUCAGCAUUGCUGCGGUGAAUA